rnacentral:rRNA from 1 species
UACGGGGGGGGCAAGCGUUGUUCGGAAUUACUGGGCGUAAAGGGCUCGUAGGUGGCCAAUUAAGUCAGACGUGAAAUCCCCAGGCUUAACCUGGGAACUGCGUCCGAUACUGGAUGGCUUGAAUUCGGGAGAGGGAUGCAGAAUUCCAGGUGUAGCGGUGAAAUGCGUAGAUAUCUGGAGGAAUACCGGUGGCGAAGGCGGCAUCCUGGACCGACAUUGACGCUGAGGAGCGAAAGCUAGGGGAGCAAACGGG